rfam:Oryzias latipes DNA, contig133373 in scaffold7393, strain: Hd-rR.
GCACUCUUGUUUCUCUUCAGAUCGUAUAAAUCUUUCGCCUUUUACUAAAGAUUUCCGUGGGGAGGAACAACAAGGGUUUGAUUCAAUUUUUUGAUGCCCUGCAGUAGUAGGGCC